rnacentral:telomerase_RNA from 2 species
ACAGUGGGAAUAGGAGGGAGUCUAUAUUUCUAACCCUAAUAUACCCGGUUCAGGGCUCUUAUGUGGCGCUCGUUGUUUUGCCGGUUGCCUUUCAGCGGGCGAAAGAGCUCAGAGAAGCGAGGACCAAAAAACGGCAGCCGCGGGCCCUCCUGUUCCCACCAUCCCAGCUUUUCCACACUGCGCCUGGGUUCUCACUCAAGUGUUCGGCAGCUUCCACUUACGAGGCCGCGGUCUACCGCUGUCACUGGUAGUCGCGAAGAGUUCGUCUCUGUCAGCCUUGGGAGCCGCGGACGGAGUAUGAGGUCCAGUAAUGAGAGCAGGGAAGAGUAAAGCGAGCCGCGCUACUUGUCCUAUCUGCCGCUCCUAAGCUGUGGGGCGUGUAGGGUACACAAGGCUCCGACAUUC